rnacentral:rRNA from 1 species
GAAUAUUGGACACUGGGCGAAAGCCUGAGCCAGCCAUGCCGGGUGGGUGAAGAGGGUCUCCGGAUUGUAAAGCCCUUUAAGUUGGGAGGAAGGGAGGUAAGCGAAUACCUUGCUGUUUGGACGUUACCGAAAGAAUAAGCACCGGCUAACGUUGUGCCAGCAGCCGCGGUAAUACAGAGGGUGCAAGCGUUAAUCGGAAUUACUGGGCGUAAAGCGCGCGUAGGUGGUUCGUUAAGUUGGAUGUGAAAUCCCCGGGCUCAACCUGGGAACUGCAUCCAAAACUGGCGAGCUAGAGUAGGGCAGAGGGUGGUGGAAUUUCCUGUGUAGCGGUGAAAUGCGUAGAUAUAGGAAGGAACACCAGUGGCGAAGGCGACCACCUGGGCUCAUACUGACACUGAGGUGCGAAAGCGUGGGGAGCAAACAG